GGGCGAAUGGUUUAGUGGUAUAAUACUCCCUUAGCAUCAUCCGAGUUUCUGGUUCUGCGCUUGGGAGUGGUCCGGGGUUCGAUUCCCCGUUUGUCCA